UUCUUAUCAGUUUAAUAUCUGAUACGUCCCCCAUCGAGGGACUACAUAUUAAAUGGAUUUUUCGAACAGGGAGUCGGAAAUGGGGCUUGCUCCGUCCGCUCCACGCAUCGACCCGGUAUUGCAGUACCUCCGGGAAUGGUGCAACACUU
rnacentral:snRNA from 8 species